rnacentral:rRNA from 1 species
AGAGUUUGAUCCUGGCUCAGGAUGAACUCUAGCGACAGGCUUAACACAUGCAAGUCGAGGGGCAGCGGGGAAGUAGCAAUACUUCCGCCGGCGACCGGCGCACGGGUGAGUAACACGUAUGGAACCUGCCCGUAGCAGGGGGAUAAGCGGAAGAAAUUCCGUCUAAUAUCGCGUAAUAACUCCGAGAGGCAUCUCCUGGGGUUUAAAGGGUAACACCGGCUACGGAUGGCCAUGCGGCGCAUUAGCUAGUUGGCGGGGUAACGGCCCACCAAGGCGACGAUGCGUAGGGGUUCUGAGAGGAAGGUCCCCCACACUGGUACUGAGACACGGACCAGACUCCUACGGGAGGCAGCAGUGAGGAAUAUUGGUCAAUGGUCGGGAGACUGAACCAGCCAAGCCGCGUGAGGGAUGAAGGUACAGAGUAUCGUAAACCUCUUUUGUCAGGGAACAAAGGCGGGUACGCGUCCCCGGAUGAGUGUACCUGAAGAAAAAGCAUCGGCUAACUCCGUGCCAGCAGCCGCGGUAAUACGGAGGAUGCGAGCGUUAUCCGGAUUUAUUGGGUUUAAAGGGUGCGCAGGCGGUCUGUUAAGUCAGCGGUCAAAGCCCGGGGCUCAACCCCGGCCCGCCGUUGAAACUGGCAGUCUCGAGUUGGAGAGAAGUAUGCGGAAUGCGCGGUGUAGCGGUGAAAUGCAUAGAUAUCGCGCAGAACUCCGAUUGCGAAGGCAGCAUGCCGGCUCCACACUGACGCUGAGGCACGAAAGCGUGGGUAUCGAACAGGAUUAAGAUACCCUGGUAGUCCACGCAGUAAACGAUGAAUGCUGGCUGUCCGGGGGGACUGACCCCUGGGUGGCGAAGCGAAAGCGAUAAGCAUUCCACCUGGGGAGUACGCCGGCAACGGUGAAACUCAAAGGAAUUGACGGGGGCCCGCACAAGCGGAGGAACAUGUGGUUUAAUUCGAUGAUACGCGAGGAACCUUACCCGGGCUCAAACGGGGAGUGACUCAGGCAGAGACGCCUGUUUCCCACGGGACACUCCCCGAGGUGCUGCAUGGUUGUCGUCAGCUCGUGCCGUGAGGUGUCGGCUUAAGUGCCAUAACGAGCGCAACCCCCGCGUGCAGUUGCUAACAGAUAACGCUGAGGACUCUGCACGGACUGCCGGCGCAAGCCGCGAGGAAGGCGGGGAUGACGUCAAAUCAGCACGGCCCUUACGUCCGGGGCGACACACGUGUUACAAUGGCCGGUACAGCGGGAAGCCAGGCGGCGACGCCGAGCGGAACCCGAAAACCGGUCUCAGUUCGGAUCGGAGUCUGCAACCCGACUCCGUGAAGCUGGAUUCGCUAGUAAUCGCGCAUCAGCCAUGGCGCGGUGAAUACGUUCCCGGGCCUUACACUCACCGCCCGUCA